GCUUAUCACCAUUCCAGAUUGAAUAUACCCGAUCUCGUCUGAUCUCGGAAGUCAAGCAAUCUCGGGCUUGGUUAAUACUUGGAUGGGUGACCGCUUGGGAAUACCAGUGUGAUAAGCA
rnacentral:rRNA from 1 species